rnacentral:rRNA from 1 species
GAUGAACGCUGACAGAAUGCUUAACACAUGCAAGUCUACUUGAAUUUGGGUUUUUUAACUUAGAUUUGGGUGGCGGACGGGUGAGUAACGCGUAAAGAACUUGCCUCACAGCUAGGGACAACAUUUGGAAACGAAUGCUAAUACCUGAUAUUAUGAUUUUAAGGCAUCUUAGAAUUAUGAAAGCUAUACGCGCUGUGAGAGAGCUUUGCGUCCCAUUAGCUAGUUGGAGAGGUAACGGCUCACCAAGGCGAUGAUGGGUAGCCGGCCUGAGAGGGUGAACGGCCACAAGGGGACUGAGACACGGCCCUUACUCCUACGGGAGGCAGCAGUGGGGAAUAUUGGACAAUGGACCAAGAGUCUGAUCCAGCAAUUCUGUGUGCACGAUGACGUUUUUCGGAAUGUAAAGUGCUUUCAGUUGGGAAGAAAAAAAUGACGGUACCAACAGAAGAAGUGACGG